GUACACUCCUGCGGGAGGCAGCAGUGGGGAAUAUUGGACAAUGGGCGCAAGCCUGAUCCAGCCAUGCCGCGUGAGUGAUGAAGGCCCUAGGGUUGUAAAGCUCUUUUGUGCGGGAAGAUAAUGACGGUACCGCAAGAAUAAGCCCCGGCUAACUUCGUGCCAGCAGCCGCGGUAAUACGAAGGGGGCUAGCGUUGCUCGGAAUCACUGGGCGUAAAGGGUGCGUAGGCGGGUCUUUAAGUCAGGGGUGAAAUCCUGGAGCUCAACUCCAGAACUGCCUUUGAUACUGAAGAUCUUGAGUUCGGGAGAGGUGAGUGGAACUGCGAGUGUAGAGGUGAAAUUCGUAGAUAUUCGCAAGAACACCAGUGGCGAAGGCGGCUCACUGGCCCGAUACUGACGCUGAGGCACGAAAGCGUGGGGAGCAAACAGGAUUAGAAACCCCUGUAGUCCC
rnacentral:rRNA from 1 species